UUAAGCGACUAAGCGUACACGGUGGAUGCCCUGGCAGUCAGAGGCGAUGAAGGACGUGCUAAUCUGCGAUAAGCGUCGGUAAGGUGAUAUGAACCGUUAUAACCGGCGAUUUCCGAAUGGGGAAACCCAGUGUGAUUCGUCACACUAUCAUUAACUGAAUCCAUAGGUUAAUGAGGCGAACCGGGGGAACUGAAACAUCUAAGUACCCCGAGGAAAAGAAAUCAACCGAGAUUCCCCCAGUAGCGGCGAGCGAACGGGGAGCAGCCCAGAGCCUGAAUCAGUAUGUGUGUUAGUGGAAGCGUCUGGAAAGGCGCGCGAUACAGGGUGACAGCCCCGUACACAAAAAUGCACAUGCUGUGAGCUCGAUGAGUAGGGCGGGACACGUGGUAUCCUGUCUGAAUAUGGGGGGACCAUCCUCCAAGGCUAAAUACUCCUGACUGACCGAUAGUGAACCAGUACCGUGAGGGAAAGGCGAAAAGAACCCCGGCGAGGGGAGUGAAAAAGAACCUGAAACCGUGUACGUACAAGCAGUGGGAGCACAGAGCAAUCUGUGUGACUGCGUACCUUUUGUAUAAUGGGUCAGCGACUUAUAUUCUGUAGCAAGGUUAACCGAAUAGGGGAGCCGAAGGGAAACCGAGUCUUAACUGGGCGUUAAGUUGCAGGGUAUAGACCCGAAACCCGGUGAUCUAUCCAUGGGCAGGUUGAAGGUUGGGUAACACUAACUGGAGGACCGAACCGACUAAUGUUGAAAAAUUAGCGGAUGACUUGUGGCUGGGGGUGAAAGGCCAAUCAAACCGGGAGAUAGCUGGUUCUCCCCGAAAGCUAUUUAGGUAGCGCCUCGUGAAUUCAUCUCCGGGGGUAGAGCACUGUUUCGGCAAGGGGGUCAUCCCGACUUACCAACCCGAUGCAAACUGCGAAUACCGGAGAAUGUUAUCACGGGAGACACACGGCGGGUGCUAACGUCCGUCGUGAAGAGGGAAACAACCCAGACCGCCAGCUAAGGUCCCAAAGUCAUGGUUAAGUGGGAAACGAUGUGGGAAGGCCCAGACAGCCAGGAUGUUGGCUUAGAAGCAGCCAUCAUUUAAAGAAAGCGUAAUAGCUCACUGGUCGAGUCGGCCUGCGCGGAAGAUGUAACGGGGCUAAACCAUGCACCGAAGCUGCGGCAGCGACGCUGAUGCGUUGUUGGGUAGGGGAGCGUUCUGUAAGCCUGUGAAGGUGUGCUGUGAGGCAUGCUGGAGGUAUCAGAAGUGCGAAUGCUGACAUAAGUAACGAUAAAGCGGGUGAAAAGCCCGCUCGCCGGAAGACCAAGGGUUCCUGUCCAACGUUAAUCGGGGCAGGGUGAGUCGACCCCUAAGGCGAGGCCGAAAGGCGUAGUCGAUGGGAAACAGGUUAAUAUUCCUGUACUUGGUGUUACUGCGAAGGGGGGACGGAGAAGGCUAUGUUGGCCGGGCGACGGUUGUCCCGGUUUAAGCGUGUAGGCUGGUUUUCCAGGCAAAUCCGGAAAACUAAGGCUGAGGCGUGAUGACGAGGCACUACGGUGCUGAAGCAACAAAUGCCCUGCUUCCAGGAAAAGCCUCUAAGCAUCAGGUAACAUCAAAUCGUACCCCAAACCGACACAGGUGGUCAGGUAGAGAAUACCAAGGCGCUUGAGAGAACUCGGGUGAAGGAACUAGGCAAAAUGGUGCCGUAACUUCGGGAGAAGGCACGCUGAUAUGUAGGUGAAGUCCCUCGCGGAUGGAGCUGAAAUCAGUCGAAGAUACCAGCUGGCUGCAACUGUUUAUUAAAAACACAGCACUGUGCAAACACGAAAGUGGACGUAUACGGUGUGACGCCUGCCCGGUGCCGGAAGGUUAAUUGAUGGGGUCAGCGCAAGCGAAGCUCUUGAUCGAAGCCCCGGUAAACGGCGGCCGUAACUAUAACGGUCCUAAGGUAGCGAAAUUCCUUGUCGGGUAAGUUCCGACCUGCACGAAUGGCGUAAUGAUGGCCAGGCUGUCUCCACCCGAGACUCAGUGAAAUUGAACUCGCUGUGAAGAUGCAGUGUACCCGCGGCAAGACGGAAAGACCCCGUGAACCUUUACUAUAGCUUGACACUGAACAUUGAGCCUUGAUGUGUAGGAUAGGUGGGAGGCUUUGAAGUGUGGACGCCAGUCUGCAUGGAGCCGACCUUGAAAUACCACCCUUUAAUGUUUGAUGUUCUAACGUUGACCCGUAAUCCGGGUUGCGGACAGUGUCUGGUGGGUAGUUUGACUGGGGCGGUCUCCUCCUAAAGAGUAACGGAGGAGCACGAAGGUUGGCUAAUCCUGGUCGGACAUCAGGAGGUUAGUGCAAUGGCAUAAGCCAGCUUGACUGCGAGCGUGACGGCGCGAGCAGGUGCGAAAGCAGGUCAUAGUGAUCCGGUGGUUCUGAAUGGAAGGGCCAUCGCUCAACGGAUAAAAGGUACUCCGGGGAUAACAGGCUGAUACCGCCCAAGAGUUCAUAUCGACGGCGGUGUUUGGCACCUCGAUGUCGGCUCAUCACAUCCUGGGGCUGAAGUAGGUCCCAAGGGUAUGGCUGUUCGCCAUUUAAAGUGGUACGCGAGCUGGGUUUAGAACGUCGUGAGACAGUUCGGUCCCUAUCUGCCGUGGGCGCUGGAGAACUGAGGGGGGCUGCUCCUAGUACGAGAGGACCGGAGUGGACGCAUCACUGGUGUUCGGGUUGUCAUGCCAAUGGCACUGCCCGGUAGCUAAAUGCGGAAGAGAUAAGUGCUGAAAGCAUCUAAGCACGAAACUUGCCCCGAGAUGAGUUCUCCCUGACUCCUUGAGAGUCCUGAAGGAACGUUGAAGACGACGACGUUGAUAGGCCGGAUGUGUAAGCGCAGCGAUGCGUUGAGCUAACCGGUACUAAUGAACCGUGAGGCUUAACCU
rnacentral:rRNA from 1 species